rnacentral:tRNA from 1 species
AGGAUUAUAGUUUAAAAAAAACAAUUGAUUUGCAAUCAAAAAUUAUUUAACCAAUUUAUCUUA